GGUAAUGUAGCUCAGUGGUAGAGUGCUUGCCUAGCACGCAUGAAGCCCUGGGUUCGAUUCCUCAGCACUG
rfam:Dipodomys ordii contig_24347, whole genome shotgun sequence.